rnacentral:lncRNA from 1 species
AUGUCUCAACGUGGAUGUUGUGCUACCGCUCGUCCGCUUCAGAACAGGCGCACACAGCUUGCAUGUCACACUUUCGGAAGAUAUUUCAUUGAAAUAUCUCCACGUGUGACUUCUAUAUUUUGUACGGUCUCUGCUUCUACAUUCCAUAUCUCACAGCUGCUGGUUCUUAGUGUAAUGGAUGGAUCGUUUGAGCUAUCAACUGCAGUCUUUGGUGGCCGUCUGGAUCUGCGACAUUUCAUUGCGCAUGUGCUGGGAUUAAAGGCUACAGAGAUGGGUUCCUGGAUCACCUCAAGGUCACCCUUGAUCGAGCACCGCAUAUGUGGAAGCUGUGCAUCCCAGGACCCCUGUCAGCCCAGUGUGAGAGGCCUGACCUAUGCAUCCCAUGACCCCUGUCAGCCCAGUGUGAGAGGCCUGACCUAUGCAUCCCAGGACCCCUGUCAGCCCAGUGUGAGAGGCCUGACUAUGCAUCCCAGGACCCCUGUCAGCCCAGUGUGAGAGGCCUGACCUAUGCAUCCCAGGACCCCUGUUGGCCCAGUGUGAGAGGCCUGACCUAUGCAUCCCAGGACCCCUGUUGGCCCAGUGUGAGAGGCCUGACCUAUGCAUCCCAGGACCCCUGUCGGCCCAGUGUGAGAGGCCUGACAAGGAGGCGGGCAUAGCUAUUUGUCUCCCACGUCAAUCUUGAGGGUGACUGAAGCCUGCUUGAAUGAAGUGGGGUGUGCGGGUCCCCAUCAAUCUCUGUAGGUGGUUGAGUUUUCUAAAGUCAAAGUAAAUCACGCUUACGUGAUGACAUCACACUUUGUUACUUUGUAUAGUUUCUUGAAGCAUUCGGACAGGAGAGCAGUGUUACAAAUUGUAUGAGUCAAAUGGUCCUGCACACUGUUGGGUGGCCGGGUGCCCAUAUAAGGCAUAUGGCUCUAAUAUAUUUCUUAAAUGUCAAAUGAUGUCUCAUCAUUAUUUCUCACCAUCAUUUAUGUUGAUCAAUAUUUUGGUUGUGCUGGCCUAAUUUGUAAAUGAUCAAAUAAAUGUCUGAUCAAUACAUACAAUUCUGAAUAUAUUGUUAUUUAUAAUGCUAAUGAAGAGGCACCAAUAAAUUGUCCAGUACACUCAUUAUAUGCUGUUUUCAUAUACAUACCUUUAUGUCUACGCUUCUAAGGAGUCUCGGGCUUUACUAAUUAUUGUGAAGAAAUGUAUUCUGUAAUUAGUUACAAAACAAUAGUCUGACUAAACUUCAUAUGGAGAAAAGGAAUGCUGUAUUCUAUUUUGGAAAUGUACGACUUUGUUAUUGGACUAAUAUAUGCAUAAACACAGUGCAUCUGUACACCAAGAAUGAUAUGUAAAUGUGACACGUGUCAAGAACAUGAGCCAGUUCUCUUGGCCAUGAGAGCAUUUUGCAGAGAAAAUGGGUUGUGAAUUACAAUUUAGGUAAGGAUUGUUUACCUUGUUACCAGGCGACGACCACAAGGGCAUUUUCAAAGAGCUCUCAUUCAAGGCGAGCUCAUGAAUAUAAGCUCUCCUCCCACUCAGCCUGUUCUUUCAGGCUUCCUGAUAGUUAGAGAUCAGAGAAUGUACAAUUUCUUCAAUUCUGAGCAUUUUAAUGGUGUAAAAAUAUUAUGGGGGAUGUUUUGGUCAUGCAAAGGCUAUUUUUGCUUGGGAAAUAGGAUGAUUUAGGAGAAAUUGUAGAAAUAGGCAGGGUUUAGGGUCGUCAUUAGUUGACACAAAGUCCUUUUUAAUACAAAAAAACAGACAAUGCUGACAGAAUUUCUGAUUUCUUAAAGAAAAUAGUGAGGUAAUAAACAAUAUCUUUAUAAAUGAUUGUAAAGCAAUAAAUAAUUUAAGACUAUAUACUGGAUACUGAGUUAUUAACAAAAGGAG